UACGUAGGGUGCGAGCGUUAAUCGGAAUUACUGGGCGUAAAGUGUGCGCAGGCGGCCGAGCAAGUCGAGUGUGAAAGCCCCGAGCUUAACUUGGGAACUGCGCUCGAAACUACUUGGCUAGAGUGUGGCAGAGGGAGGUGGAAUUCCACGUGUAGCAGUGAAAUGCGUAGAGAUGUGGAGGAACACCGAUGGCGAAGGCAGCCCCCUGGGCUAACACUGACGCUCAGGCACGAAAGCGUGGGGAGCAAACAGG
rnacentral:rRNA from 1 species